AUUGAACGCUGGCGGCAUGCCUUACACAUGCAAGUCGAACGGUAACAGGUCUUCGGAUGCUGACGAGUGGCGAACGGGUGAGUAAUACAUCGGAACGUGCCUAGUAGUGGGGGAUAACUACUCGAAAGAGUGGCUAAUACCGCAUGAGAUCUACGGAUGAAAGCAGGGGAUCGCAAGACCUUGUGCUACUAGAGCGGCCGGUGGCAGAUUAGGUAGUUGGUGGGAUAAAAGCUUACCAAGCCGACGAUCUGUAGCUGGUCUGAGAGGACGAUCAGCCACACUUGGACUGAGACACGGCCCAGACUCCUACGGGAGGCAGCAGUGGGGAAUUUUGGACAAUGGGCGAAAGCCUGAUCCAGCAAUGCCGCGUGCAGGAUGAAGGCCUUCGGGUUGUAAACUGCUUUUGUACGGAACGAAAAGCCCCGGGUUAAUACCCUGGGGUCAUGACGGUACCGUAAGAAUAAGCACCGGCUAACUACGUGCCAGCAGCCGCCGUAA
rnacentral:rRNA from 1 species